rnacentral:rRNA from 1 species
UAGGGAAUCUUCGGCAAUGGACGAAAGUCUGACCGAGCAACGCCGCGUGAGUGAAGAAGGAUUUCGGAUCGUAAAACUCUGUUGUUAGAGAAGAACAAGGACGUUAGUAACUGAACGUCCCCUGACGGUAUCUAACCAGAAAGCCACGGCUAACUACGUGCCAGCAGCCGCGGUAAUACGUAGGUGGCAAGCGUUGUUCGGAUUUAUUGGGCGUAAAGCGAGGGCGGGCGGUUUCUUAAGUCGGAUGUGAAGGCCCCCGGCUCAACCGGGGGGGGUCAUUAGAAACUGGGAGAAUUGAGGGCAGAAGAGGAGGGUGGAAUUCCAUGUGUAGCGGUGAAAUGCGUAGAUAUAUGGAGAAACACCAGUGGCGAAGGCGGCUCUGUGGUCUGUAACUGACGCUGAGGCUCGAAAGCGUGGGGAGCAAACAGG